AUUGAGUUCGCUACAAUCCUUCUGCUCAACUGACAUAAUACAAAGGGAAAAAACAAAAAUGUAGUAGAAAUCAUUCUUCUUAACCUGGCAAACAAAAAUACCAAGUAAAUAUCUUUCCCAUUUCUACAAGAGCCAUACGUUGCGUGGAAUUAGGGGCUCCUAUCCAAGUGCUUACUUCGUAUCAAAGGCGUUUGAUAAUUUGCCUGAGAGAUAACAUGAAUGUUCUGAGCAGCCAAGCUGCAGGCGGAGCAGCAGUGGCGACAGUAUCCUGUACCCAUCGCUGUUCCCUUCAAUUUACAAAUCCAGUUCCUCCUCUUUUCUCCAAUCGCAGACCACCCAAAUUCCCACCCACUAAUACUCAUAAUUUCCCCAGACGCCGCACUGUUGCCAAUGCUGAAUCCACCACAAGCCGCCCCUCUGCUACUCCUACUGGCCCUUCCACUCCCCCCAAUUCCGCCAAAGAGGAUGUUCCCAUCACUUUGGUGGGCGAACAGGAUGUUCCUCUAGAGGGUGUCAUUCAAUUCGAAAAGCCCACUUCUUCCCCUUCUACCCUCAUUUCUAAAUGGGGGUGGGUGGCUUUGUUGGCCGGUGGGGAUGCGUUGGCAUUGCUCUUGUUCUCAGCAAUUGGAAGGUUUAGUCAUGGCUUUGACGUUUUUGACCUCGAAACGUUGAAGACUGCGGACCCGUUUAUGGCUGGGUGGUUCUUGAGUGCUUAUUUCCUUGGAGGAUAUGGGGAAGAUGGUCGAGGCAUGAAUGGCCGGUCUCAAGCUAUAACUGUAGCUGCCAAGUCUUGGGCUUUGGGCAUUCCGUCUACCCGUUCUCUUUGGAAUGGGAAUCCUCUCCUCAAGUUGAAGACGCAUACAAAGUUGAAUAAGUCCUUCCAAAAUUUAGGCUGCACCUCAAGGACAGCAAAGGCCAGACAUGAAACCAAGAGCAGAAUGACCAUUAGCUGGGCUUGAUAAUAAGAGCAGCAACAGUCAGGCAUAUUCCGCCAAUCAACUUUAUCUUAGUAACCAUGGGAAGUACUGCUGUGUUACUAAUUGGAUGGAGAGCACUGUUGUUUAGCAUAUUCUAUCCUGACAAAAGCAAGAAGAAUGAUGUCUAUAGACGGGGGAGCCCUUUUGAACUGUUUGAGUUGCUCACGUCAUUGGUGAGAAGGUGGUAGAUCAGGUAGUGACUUCCUACAAGUUUGUACAUGCAUUUCCUCUUUUUAUGUAAGAAGUGACAUUUCAGAAGCAAUCACAGUUUUGUUUAAGAUGUUCGUUACCUGUAUGUAUAGAAUUUCUACCACUUGAAGAAGAGCUUGUUUUCAAUAAUAUUAUUAAACAUGUAGCAAAGAAAGUCCUUAAUGAAGAAUGAAGCCCUUGUAAUGCUUUUCCACAUGCUCCUCAUCUUCUAAAUAUAUCCUGCAAUCCAAGGACUCA